UUAUUCGGCACACCUAAAGUGGAUAUUAUAAACAACUGCGAUCAAUAGUUUCUUUUGUUUUCUUUUAGGUUUAGAGACCACUAAAGUAAAACUAUGAUUCUAGUUUCAAAGUUGUUCCAAAAUACGUCUAUCGUGGACAACAUUCCCAUUAUAGAUUUGGUCUGCAUGGAUUUGAAGGCCUUGGACAGUCUCAUUCUCUUACGAUGCAUCAUUUCAAAAGUUGAUAAUACGCAAAUCAAGGAACACAUUUCACUAAUCUCCUUGAAUUUCUUCAACAAUAUGAUCCAUAGUAUUAUGAGCAGAGGUAGAAAAACUAUGCCAAAGACAUCAUAAAUAACAUCUACAACCUUUCUAUCAACAAAUCUACUCUUGUUAGCUAUAUCCUCUUUUGCAAAAUCAACCCAUGUUUUCAAUGUGUUAAUUUGAUUUUGGCGUAUUCACCCCGACAUAUUAAAGAGAUGGGUUUCGUAAUAGGGGUAAGCAUAUUUAUUGGCUCAACAAAAAAUUAUUAUUACUUAGUUAGCUAUAUCUUCUCAUGUUGUCGAG
rnacentral:lncRNA from 1 species